AGAAUCAACGCUGGCGGCGUGCCUAACACAUGCAAGUCGAACGAGAAAGUGGAGCAAUCCAUGAGUAAAGUGGCGACCGGGUGAGUAACACGUGACCAAUCUACCCUUGAGUGGGGGAUAACCUCGGGAAACCGGGGCUAAUACCGCAUAACAUCCUCGGGACGGAAGUACUGGGGAUCAAAGGAGCAAUUCGCUUAAGGAGGAGGUCGCGGCUGAUUAGCUAGUUGGCGGGGUAAUGGCCCACCAAGGCAAAGAUCGGUAGCCGGCCUGAGAGGGCGCACGGCCACACUGGAACUGAAACACGGUCCAGACUCCUACGGGAGGCAGCAGUGGGGAAUUUUGCGCAAUGGGGGAAACCCUGACGCAGCAACGCCGCGUGGAGGAUGAAGUCCCUUGGGACGUAAACUCCUUUCGACCCGGACGAUAAUGACGGUACGGGUGGAAGAAGCCCGGCUAACUUCGCGCCAGCAGCCGC
rnacentral:rRNA from 1 species